rnacentral:rRNA from 1 species
CAAGUCGAGCGGAAACGAGAAGGUGCUUGCACCUUCGGCGUCGAGCGGCGGACGGGUGAGUAAUGGCUGGGUACCUGCCCUGAUGUGGGGGAUAACAGUUGGAAACGACUGCUAAUACCGCAUAACGUCUACGGACCAAAGAGGGGGAUCUUCGGACCUCUCGCGUCAGGAUGGGCCCAGUUGGGAUUAGCUAGUUGGUGAGGUAAUGGCUCACCAAGGCGACGAUCCCUAGCUGGUUUGAGAGGAUGAUCAGCCACACUGGAACUGAGACACGGUCCAGACUCCUACGGGAGGCAGCAGUGGGGAAUAUUGCACAAUGGGGGAAACCCUGAUGCAGCCAUGCCGCGUGUGUGAAGAAGGCCUUCGGGUUGUAAAGCACUUUCAGCUGUGAGGAAGGGUGAGUCGUUAAUAGCGGUUCAUCUUGACGUUAGCAGCAGAAGAAGCACCGGCUAACUCCGUGCCAGCAGCCGCGGUAAUACGGAGGGUGCGAGCGUUAAUCGGAAUUACUGGGCGUAAAGCGCAUGCAGGCGGUCUGUUAAGCAAGAUGUGAAAGCCCCGGGCUCAACCUGGGAAAGUCAUUUUGAACUGGCAGGCUAGAGU